UAUAUAUAUAUAUGGGAGAGUGUGAUAAUAUUCAGAGAACUCUGUAUUUACAAGAUUAAAGUAGUACAUUUUCUAUGAAAAUAGCUUGAUUGGAGAGAAGUUAUCUUCUGCUUGUGAAUUUCUCAUUUUAAUUUUAUUUCACGAGGAAUGCACGUUGUAAUUAUUAAACCAUCAACCGAAGAGCACCGUAGUAGACAAGUAGUAGCAAACAACUAGGCUAUAUUGUCCAAAUACAAGUUAAACAAAUGGAUUCAUUAACGUUGAUUUUCACCUCUGCCCAAUGCUUUUAUUCAUCUGUCAGCGUGUUUUAAUUGUUAUACUGAAUCUCUGUCAGACUCAUAGCAGAUAAGACAAUAAGAGGUCAGAGAAACAUGGUGGUAUCUUCUCCCGCUAGUUUCAUGGAUGUUUAGCACACUAUUUUGGGCCUUUUGUAACCUUCAUCACAACCACGGCAAGGAUGCACUUGUCAAGACUCUAACAUUGAUUAUUUAUCAACACAAAAUACCAAUGACAGAUGAAUCAUUCUUAAACAAUGAUGCUUGCCUUGUUAAAAUAAACUUAACUGAAUGGCAGUAUGUACGUAGAAGUUUGGCCACUGCGUUUAAAUCUGCUCUCUUUUGAGAAAUACGUCUACGAGCUCUUUUAAAACUCACUACGAGACAUGAAACACACAACAGAAAGUCUGUGCUUUCACUCAGCGGCACAUUGUGUUCAGGGCCAAGUGAUAGCAAGACGUUUGUGCACCGAUGUUUAUAGGGAGGAUCAUCUACACCCGAGUUGAUCACCAGCACAUUGUUUUUUCCCAGAGCCCCCCUUGUUUUAGCAUCUUAAUCGUCCUUCUAUAUAUUCCUGCCAAGGAUCGUUGGCACUCAAUUGCAGCAUUAUUGCAGCACUCAACCCGGGAUCGAUUCGCUGCUAAUGCAUCUGUAUGCUGCAAAAACUAACAUAUCUCAGGUUGCAGGUCCAUUUUAACUUUUCUAUAUUAAUCUCUUUCAUAACAAGCAGUUUGACAUCAGCAUCGUGGCUCAGAGUGCUGGCCAUGGAACCACGGUGUGUUUGAAUCUAAAUGUUUAAAUUUGUAUUUUUGACAGAGAAUUACUCAGACCGAAGCAUAAAUGUACAUUAGGCUGGGAAAAAGUACCAAAUGGGGCAGCAUUAGCAUAUACAGGAUUGACCUGAAAUGUGUAUGAGGUAAUUAUGACAGAUGGGAACGUUAAUCAGUUAUUUGCUCUCCUGUUUAUCAUCUGUAGAUGAUCAACUGAAUGUCAAAAACACGUGCCCUGUGAUCCUUGAGUUGUAGAGAGUUUACAUCACAUACUGCGUAUGAGCAUGUGAACCGUGUGCCUCUUCUUGCGAGAAUAAACGCUCUAGAAUCCUUUGGGUUUUCACAAUCUUUAUUUUUACGUUGUCCCCAGGACUCAAAUGUGAACUUUGACUUGGAGGCAAUGUCAGUACUCUUGUGUUUGUUUGCUUUUUGCUCUGACUGGCUGACUAAUACCACUGCAUCACACAGCGUGCUGGGAAAUCGUGUCAUCCAGCUGGUCCCAUAUAACUUUUAAAGGGGGGGGUAUAUGUGUUUACCAAACAAUACAAUACAUGUUAAUAGGACCACUUGUGUAUCUUGGUUUUAAAUAGACUAGUUGUAUAACAUUAAAAUGUGCUGUGCAGAGGUGUGAAUAAGACCUGCCUGCAGAGGGCAGUGAGUUCUAACUGUUCUCAGGUCUGUCUCUCUCUCUCUCUGUCCCACACACACUAAUCAACAUCACCCCGUCAGCCAUUUCUCAUCAAUAACAAUCAUAAAGUCACUCUCACAAAACCUUUUUUUAAAGUAUUUGUUGGUGGUUCAAUAUGUUGUUUCCUCAUCCAUCUGCUGAAAGGAGCCAGCGAGGAACCGCACAUCUCGGUUCGACACGUGCACGUUGCGCAGCUGAUCGGGGCCCCAAACGAGGUCCUCGGCACACAGCGACAAACGACUUCAUAUUUACAGGCGUUUAAACUGAUACAACCAUUGUUUGCAUUUUCUCGGCGAAAUGAAGUGAAGAUAUUGUAUUUGUAUUAGUUUAUUGAACUUUUGUGUAAAAACGUCCAGAAACACAAUAUUCAACGCCGAGCCGUCAAACGUGUCCGCAUGCAGCAUUGGAUCAACUAUUGACGAGUCUUUGUUUCGUUUCGUUUUUUUACCGUGAAAUAGGACUAAAAGGCGCACAGACCUCCUUCGUGGGAGGCGCUUUCCUUGGGACUCCUGCACGUGGCGCGCGCGCCGCGGGGUGUCGGGCGGUGUAAACGGGUAAAUCGGGUCGAUGUCCCCGUGAGGACUGCGAUCUGCACCGGGAUGUGCUGGUGAUUGAUUGGUAACACCGAUCCGAUACGAUGACUGCGCUCUGGCUUUUCACGGUGUUCGUUGUUCAAACGAGUCUAUCGGUGGCGUCGGGUCCCGGAUCGGGUCCCGGAUCGGGUCCCGGAUCGGGUCCCGGUCCCGUCUUCACAAACCACUGGGCGGUGCGGAUCGCAGGGGGUCAGAAACAGGCUGACAGGAUCGCAGCGAAAUAUGGGUACAUCAACUUUGGACAGAUAGGAAGUCUGGAGGGCCAUUACCAUUUCCACCACAGCAGAGUGGUUCGCAGAGCUCCAUACUCUUUGAAGGGCCCCCACAGCUUCAUCCAUAUGGAUCCUCAGGUGGACUGGGCUGAGCAACAGGUAGUAAAACACAGAGUAAAGAGAGACGCUCAAAGGGACCCCAGCUUCAUUAAUUUCAAUGAUCCUAAGUGGUCCAACAUGUGGUACAUUCAUUGCAAUGAUAAGAACAGCCGUUGCCACUCGGAGAUGAACAUUCUGGCUGCCUGGCAGAGAGGCUACACGGGCAAGCGUGUGGUGGUCACCAUAUUGGAUGACGGCAUUGAGAGAAACCACCCUGAUCUGGCACAGAACUAUGAUCAUCUGGCAAGUUAUGACAUCAAUGGUAAUGACCACGACCCCACACCACGUUAUGACUCCCGCAAUGAAAACAUGCAUGGAACUCGGUGUGCGGGUGAAGUGGCUGCAGUAGCCAAUAACUCCCAUUGUACCGUUGGAGUUGCCUAUAAUGCUCAUAUUGGAGGGAUUCGGAUGCUCGACGGUGAUGUGACUGAUUUGGUGGAGGCCAAGUCCCUUGGCAUCCGACCUGACUACAUUGACAUCUACAGUGCCAGCUGGGGGCCAAAAGACGACGGCAAGACCGUGGACGGCCCCGGGCUGCUGACUAAGCAGGCUUUUGAGCAGGGCAUCAAGAAGGGGCGCAAAGGCUUGGGGUCCAUUUUUGUCUGGGCGUCAGGUAACGGGGGUCGACAGGGGGAUCACUGUUCAUGUGACGGUUACACCAGCAGUAUAUACACAAUCUCCAUCUCCAGCACCACAGAGAACGGAAACAAGCCCUGGUACCUUGAGGUCUGCAGCUCCAUCAUUGCCACAACGUACAGCAGUGGAGAGUUUAACGAGAGGAAUAUUAUAACCACCGACCUCCGGCAACUCUGCACUGAUGGUCAUACCGGCACUUCUGUCUCCGCCCCAAUUGUGGCGGGGAUCGUAGCUCUCGCUCUGGAGGCAAACCUUUUGCUGACCUGGAGGGAUGUGCAACAUCUUCUGGUGAAGACAUCCAGACCGGUUCACCUGAAAGCUGAUGACUGGAAGACCAAUGCUGCAGGACUCAGAGUCAGCCACCUGUAUGGUUUUGGCCUUGUGGAUGCAGAGGCCAUGGUGCUCGAGGCUACCAAGUGGAGGACCGUUCCGCCUCAGCACACCUGCAGCCAGAUGCCUGUGCGACGCAACAGGUACAUCCAUGCUGGUCGAAGUCUGAACAGCAGCCUUACCACCUCGGGGUGUUCAGAAGAACCUGAGCAGCAUGUGGAUUACCUGGAGCAUGUGGUGGUGAAGGUCCUGAUUGCCCACCCACGGCGAGGAGACAUGGAGAUCAACCUCAUCUCUCCGUCUGGCACAACGUCACAGCUGCUGGCUAAGAGGUUGUUCGACAGUUCCAAUGAGGGUUUCAGGAACUGGGAAUUCAUGACGGUUCAUUUCUGGGGGGAGAGGUCACAGGGCUUAUGGACCCUGGAGAUUGUUGACACACCAUCAAAGCAACGCAACCCUGAGCUGCUGGGCAACCUAAAAGAAUGGACACUGAUCCUUUACGGCACAUCUCAGAACCCUUACCAGCCCCUCAGUGCUCAACAAUCCCGUUCAAGCAUGCUGGAGGUCACAGCCCCGGGGGAGACUCCGGAGCUGAAGGAGGAAGAUGAGUACAACGGGCCAUGCCACAGUGAGUGUGGAGACCAGGGCUGUGACGGACCAGACACCGAACACUGCCUCAACUGCGUCCACUUCAGCUUAGGCAGCCUGAAAAGUGGCAGAACAUGUGUGAGCCACUGUCCACUUGGACACUAUGGAGACAUCGCGUCUCGCCGCUGUAGACGCUGCUAUAAAGGUUGCGAGGGAUGUGUUGGCCUAUCAGCCAGCAACUGUCUCUCCUGUCGAAAAGGCCUUUACCUCAAUGCACUCAACUCCAGCUGCAUCCACACCUGUCCCCAAGGAUACUUUGCUGAUGAGAAUCAGAGACAGUGUCUGAAGUGUCAUGACACCUGUAUGAGAUGCCUGAGGUAUGGAGACAGAUGCACUGCCUGCAGCCAAGGCUACCGUCUGGCAGGGAUGACUUGUGUUCCUGAAUGCACCAAUGGAACCUUUUUCCAUGUGGAAGAGAUGACCUGCAGCCCAUGCCAUUCCUCCUGUAGGACCUGUACGGGGCCUGGUAAGGAGCAGUGUAUCCAAUGUGCCGAGGGCUUCCUGCAGCAGGAGUGGAGGUGUGUGCAGAUCUGUACUCCUGGCUUUUACGCUGCAGAGGCAGCCGGAGUCCCUCACAAGAUGUGUCACAGGUGAUAACACAGCUGAAAACCGCAGCUUCUCUUCAUCUCUGCACCCACGGACAAUGGGGGGGCGGACGGAACACUUUGCACACUGUAUUUGUUUUCCAUGGUGUGAGGAAAGCUGUCUGGGCUGCAGUGGCCCCGGAAAAACUUGCACCAAAUGCAAAGAGGGUUACAAUCUUGUUGGGAGGACUUGUAUUAUCAAUGCCUCCUGUAAUAAUGCUGAUGAGGCGUUCUGUGAGAUGGUCAAAUCCAACCGUCUCUGUGAGAAGAGGCUUUAUCGCCAGUUCUGCUGCCGCACCUGUCCGAUGAACGGAUGAGCAGCCAACCGUCCGUCGGUACCUCUUUGUCUUACUCUAAAUCUGCCAUAAAAGAUACGGAAGUGUCAUUGUUUUGUCAAAUCAAUUUUAUCCCCAAACGUUGAAUGUGUACAAAUAUUCUGCUAGAAAAAUGAAUGGUAUUGUAUAUGUACAAAACAGCAUUAUAAUGAAUGGACUUUCCGUGUUGUUUACUGCUUUGACUGCUUUCAAAGAUGGUAAAAAGAAAUGGAGCUGACACUGACAGUUUCUUUUUUCAUGCUUAAUAUUUUCAUUGUUAUUAACAAUAUUUAGCUCAGUUAAAAUGUAAUAAUAAAGCACACUGAGCUUUUCAAAACUGAA